UACGGGGGGGGGUAAGCGUUGUUCGGAAUUACUGGGCGUAAAGGGCUCGUAGGCGGCCAACUAAGUCAUACGUGAAAUCCCUCAGCUUAACUGGGGAACUGCGUGUGAUACUGGAUGGCUUGGAUUUGGGAGAGGGAUGCGGAAUUCCAGGUGUAGCGGUGAAAUGCGUAGAUAUCUGGAGGAACACCGGUGGCGAAGGCGGCAUCCUGGACCGACAUUGACGCUGAUGCGCGAAAGCCAGGGGAGCAAACGGG
rnacentral:rRNA from 1 species